GCUAACCCCCGAGGCUACAGAUUUGCGCACCGCCGCUCUCUUUUUCUGAACUUCUCGCGCUGGGCGCUGCCUCUCGCAGCGGAGCCGCCUUUAUGCCAGUGCUCAUGACGAAGCGCCGGGAUCAGCCGUCCGAAUGAGCAAUUUGGGAAACCAGCUCUGAACGGGAAGAAAAUAUUCGAGCAGCCCAACAGAUCGAUAGCGUCUGAGCGUGUUAACAGAGCGGCCCUAGGAGCCAUUUGCAUUUCCCACCAGCUGCUCACUUGGGCUGCAGAGGGGUAAUGCGGGUGAGAGCGGGGCCGGGCUGCACCCCGUGGGGCUGCGCACCCGCGCAACUCCCCUUUAUACCCUGGGAAACGCCGGCUGGGAGCCGGGAGCGCUCCCUCUCCUUCCUCGGAUGCGCCGGGAAAAGUGGGUUUCACCCGGCUCAGCGGUCCCGAGGGCAGAGCGGAUAUCCGAGGGCUCGCUCCGUCCGUGUGUUUCUCCAUAGAACCCCACUUUCCUGCGAGGGGCACACGGCAACCGCAGCCACCACCCCUCUGCGCUGCGCUGCGCGGGGCCGGGAAGCAGAGAGCUCCAAAGCACCGCGGCUUAAAUCUUUGCAAAACAGUCACCGGGUGCUGCCCUCGAAUUGAGAAAAUGUGUUAAAAAUAAUAAUAAUAAAAUAAAAAAGUGUCAUUUCUAUUUUUGUUCUUUUCUUUUUUU